rfam:Mus musculus chromosome 6, GRC primary reference assembly.
UGUCCUUUUGGUUCAUCUUAUUUGUUUAUUCGGCUUCGUUAUUAUUCCCCCUCCACUACUCAUUUUUUGGAGCUCUUUGCUGUAAAGAAAAACAAAAUUUCUUUUUUACUUCAAAAAGAGUCCAAAAAGGGAGGAAGCUAUCACUUA